AUUGAACGCUGGCGGCAGGCUUAACACAUGCAAGUCGAGCGGCAGUCUUCGGACUGUAGUGGCGCACGGGUGAGUAACGCGUAACUGACCUACCCCAAAGUCGCGGAUAACGAUUCGAAAGAAUCGCUAAUACGUGAUGUGCUGUCAGAUUGUGUUCUGCCAGUAAAGAUUGAUUGCUUUGGGAUGGGGUUGCGUUCCAUCAGCUAGUUGGUGGGGUAAAGGCCCACCAAGGCGACGACGGAUAGCCGGCCUGAGAGGGUGGCCGGCCACAGGGGCACUGAGACACGGGUCCCACUCCUACGGUAGGCAGCAGUUAGGAAUCUUCCACAAUGGGCGAAAGCCUGAGGGAGCGACGCCGCGUGAGGGAUGAAGGUCUUCGGAUCGUAAACCUCUGAAUCAGGGACGAAAGACACUUCGGUGGGAUGACGGUACCUGAGUAAUAGCACCGGCUAACUCCGUGCCAGCAGCCGCCGUAA
rnacentral:rRNA from 1 species